CCUACGGGAGGCAGCAGUGGGGAAUCUUGCGCAAUGGGCGAAAGCCUGACGCAGCCAUGCCGCGUGAAUGAUGAAGGUCUUAGGAUUGUAAAAUUCUUUCACCGAGGACGAUAAUGACGGUACUCGGAGAAGAAGCCCCGGCUAACUUCGUGCCAGCAGCCGCGGUAAUACGAAGGGGGCUAGCGUUGCUCGGAAUUACUGGGCGUAAAGGGAGCGUAGGCGGAUAGUUUAGUCAGAGGUGAAAGCCCAGGGCUCAACCUUGGAAUUACCUUUGAUACUGGCUAUCUUGAGUACGGAAGAGGUAUGUGGAACUCCGAGUGUAGAGGUGAAAUUCGUAGAUAUUCGGAAGAACACCAGUGGCGAAGGCGACAUACUGGUCCGUUACUGACGCUGAGGCUCGAAAGCGUGGGGAGCAAACAGGAUUAGAUACCCUGGUAGUCCACGCUGUAAACGAUGAGUGCUAGUUGUCGGCAUGCAUGCAUGUCGGUGACGCAGCUAACGCAUUAAGCACUCCGCCUGGGGAGUACGGUCGCAAGAUUAAAACUCAAAGGAAUUGACGG
rnacentral:rRNA from 1 species